ACUCUUCAACCCACCAGUUUCUUGUAGACUGAUUGGUGUUUGGAUUUUGAGCGCUGCUGGUCUUCGGAUCUAGCUCGUUCGUAAUAUAUUAGCAUCUCUAAUUCGAACUCGGAUUGACUCAGUGUAAUAGACUAUUCGCUGAGGACACGCUCUUGUAGUGUGGCCGAAUGAGAUCUCAGUAGAAGCUUCCAACUACUUUAGUCAACUUUAG
rnacentral:misc_RNA from 1 species